AAGCUGUAAAGUAUGAUUUCCUAGUAACUAAGGAAACAGUUAAAAGUUUUUUAAUGAAGAAACGACUCCUAUAUAGACUAAGUGCAAAGGAAAUCGAAGCGUUAACUAAACCAAUGAAGGAUGAUGCUAUGAAUUUUAGACAGUUUCAAAAUUUUAUGGUUUUCAAAGAAAAUCAUUUAUUAUAUACAGAUAUAUAACACCAGCCGGUGGUAGAUUUAAACGUUUACAGGACCCAGGGCUAUAAAUUUACUACAACAUUCUAUUGCCGUUCGCUGUAGUCAAAAAGUCAAAUUUAUUAAAGUAUUCAAUUAAGUUUAUUUAAAUAAAAAUUCAAGGUUUAUGUAUUAAUUCUUAAAACUCUAAGGGGUGUGUGUUUUUUUUUUGUUUUAAUCAAUUAUAUGGGUAUUUUGUAAAUGUUAUUAUUAAAUAUUAUUAAAAUGUUAAAUAACUUGUUUUCUGCAUUAUAUAAUUAUAAACUAACCUUAGCUGCUUAAUCUUAGUUUCUAUUAA